CCCUUAGACGUUCUGGGCCGCACGCGCGCUACACUGACCAGUGCAACAAGCAUCCGUCCUUGGCCGACAGGCCCGGGCAAUCUUUGAACGCUGGUCGUGAUGGGGAUAGACUUUUGCAAUUUUUGGUCUUCAACGAGGAAUUCCUAGUAAACGCAAGUCAUCAACUUGCAUUGAUUACGUCCCUGCCCUUUGUACACACCGCCCGUCGCACCUACCGAUUGAAUGGUCCGGUGAAGCCUCCGGAUUGGCGCGCACCUCGGUGCCGCCGAGAAGUUGGCUAAACCUCNCNAUUUAANGGAAGGUGAANUCGUANCA
rnacentral:rRNA from 1 species